GACGAACGCUGGCGGCGUGCUUAACACAUGCAAGUCGAACGGCAAGGCCCUGCUUUUGUGGGGUGCUCGAGUGGCGAACGGGUGAGUAACACGUGAGUAACCUGCCCUUGACUUUGGGAUAACUUCAGGAAACUGGGGCUAAUACCGGAUAGGAGCUCCUGCUGCAUUGUGGGGGUUGGAAAGUUUCGGCGGUUGGGGAUGGACUCGCGGCUUAUCAGCUUGUUGGUGGGGUAGUGGCUUACCAAGGCUUUGGCGGGUAGCCGGCCUGAGAGGGUGACCGGCCACAUUGGGACUGAGAUACGGCCCAGACUCCUACGGGAGGCAGCAGUGGGGAAUAUUGCACAAUGGGCGGAAGCCGGAUGCAGCAACGCCGCGUGCGGGAUGACGGCCUUCGGGUUGUAAACCGCUUUCGCCUGUGACGAAGCGUGAGUGACGGUAAUGGGUAAAGAAGCACCGGCUAACUACGUG
rnacentral:rRNA from 1 species